ACUGGCGCACGGGUGAGUAACGCGUGGGUAUCUACCUCGGGGUGGGGAAUAACCGCUGGAAACGGCGGCUAAUACCGCAUACGCCUUAUGAGGGAAAGCUCCGGCGCCCUGAGAGGAGCCCGCGUUGGAUUAGCUUGUUGGUGGGGUAAUGGCCUACCAAGGCUACGAUCUAUAGCUGGUCUGAGAGGAUGAUCAGCCACACUGGGACUGAGACACGGCCCAGACUCCUACGGGAGGCAGCAGUGGGGAAUAUUGGACAAUGGGCGCAAGCCUGAUCCAGCCAUGCCGCGUGAGUGAAGAAGGCCUUAGGGUUGUAAAGCUCUUUCACCUGCGAAGAUGAUGACGGUAGCAGGAGAAGAAGCCCCGGCUAACUCCGUG
rnacentral:rRNA from 1 species